rnacentral:rRNA from 1 species
UACGUAGGCAGCGAGCGUUGUUCGGAAUUACUGGGCGUAAAGAGUGUGUAGGCGGUGCUCUAAGUUCGGUGUGAAAUCUCCUGGCUUAACUGGGAGGGUGCGCCGGAAACUGGAGUGCUUGAGCGUGGGAGAGGAAAGCGGAAUUCCUGGUGUAGCGGUGAAAUGCGCAGAUAUCAGGAAGAACACCCGUGGCGAAGGCGGCUCUCUGGAACGCAACUGACGCUGAGACGCGAAAGCGUGGGGAGCAAACAGG